AUGCAUAAGUAUUUCACUUGCCUGUCUACGGUUCCCUUGCGUGUGCUCGGGAUAGGUGUUUUGUAUAAAUGUUUCGCCGUAUUAUUAAGUAUUCUCCUUUAG
rnacentral:rRNA from 1 species